rnacentral:tRNA from 1 species
AAUGAAAUGCCUGAUAAAAAGGGUUAUCUUGAUAGGAUAAAUUAUAUAAUUUAAAUUAUUUUCAUUA